rnacentral:rRNA from 1 species
GAAGAUGACGAGGUCGAUAGGUCCGAGGUGGAAGCGUGGCGACACGUGGAGCUGACGGAUACUAAUCGAUCGAGGACUUAACCAAG